rnacentral:sRNA from 1 species
CCCCUUCGGAUCGAACCGUCUCCGUAUGGUGUGCUUGCCGGGCAAUCGCCCGGAUAGGCCGAAGGUGCGAU